rnacentral:rRNA from 1 species
UACGUAGGGGGCUAGCGUUGUCCGGAAUCAUUGGGCGUAAAGAGCGUGUAGGCGGCCAGAUAGGUCUGCUGUGAAAACUAGAGGCUUAACCUCUAGACGUCGAUGGAAACCGUCUGGCUAGAGUCCGGAAGAGGAGAAUGGAAUUCCUGGUGUAGCGGUGAAAUGCGCAGAUAUCAGGAAGAACACCCGUGGCUAAGGCGGUUCUCUAGUACGGUACUGACGCUGAGACGCGAAAGCGUGGGGAGCGAACAGG